GUCGUUUUAUAGGUUUUAGGCAGCGCAGAUUUCGAAAAUUAUGACCAUUUUGGAUUCCAAAAUGGCGGCCAUGCACUAUGUCAUAAAAUAGUCAUGGAUGUCGUUUUAUAGGUUUUAGGGAGUGCAGAUUUCGAAAAUGAUGACAAUUUUGGAAUCCAAGGUGGCGGCCAUGCACUAUGUCAUAAAAGUCGUCAUGGAUGUCGUUUUAUAGGUUGUAGGGGGCCCCGAUUUCGAAAAUGAUGACCAUUUUG